AGCAAGAAGAGAGCGGAGUGGAGGAGGAGGAGGAGAAGCGGCGGCAGCAGCAGGAGAAAAAGAAAACAGGGAACCCCGGCUGCCAGGGGAGUUCGCCGGCUGCCUCCCUUCUCGAUGUUGCCGGCCGCUCGGACUCUCCUCUCAGAGGCCGCCUGCCACUUUCCCGCUGUGGACUGUCCGUGAAGGAACGGCUGGAGCAGGCGGCCACCCCCGGGGGCUCGGCUUGGAGCCGCGGCGCGGGUUUGGAUUAAAGUGGCCGCCCGAGAGACGAGCGGCAGCAGCAGGAGGCAGAAGGAGAAGGUGGCCGCGGCGGCGGCAAGGCUGCCGGUAAGGCAAAGAGGAAGCCGCGGCGGCGAGAAGCCCACGGAGCGCCCGCGGUCGGGCGGACUUGCUCGGCGGACUGCUGCUGCUGGGACGGAGGGGGAGCCAACAUGACCAGGCUUUGAAAAAUCUUCAUCUGGAAUUUCAGAUUGGAGAGACACGCAGUGGCUUCUAAGCCAGUGACUGAAGCCGCCAAAGCAUGCUGGUGCCAAGCUGUCGGAUGAUGCAUAUAGCCAGGCCAGUAGUAGUGCUCCUGUGCUGCCUACUCUGUGCUGAUGCUGAAACACCACCAAAGUUUACAAGAACACCCGUUGACCAGACAGGGGUCUCUGGGGGAGUCGCAUCAUUCAUCUGCCAGGCUACGGGAGACCCAAGACCUAAAAUUGUCUGGAACAAAAAGGGCAAGAAAGUCAGCAAUCAGAGAUUUGAGGUAAUAGAGUUUGAUGAUGGAUCUGGAUCAGUCCUCAGAAUACAACCACUGCGGACUCCACGAGAUGAAGCUAUCUAUGAAUGUGUCGCUUCCAAUAGUGUUGGAGAAAUAAGCGUGUCUACAAGACUCACUGUGUUGCGGGAGGAUCAGAUUCCUCGUGGUUUCCCCACGAUUGAUAUGGGACCACAGUUAAAGGUGGUUGAACGUACUCGAACGGCCACCAUGUUAUGUGCAGCCAGCGGCAAUCCCGAUCCCGAAAUAACUUGGUUCAAAGAUUUUUUACCUGUGGACACAAGCAACAACAAUGGACGUAUCAAACAAUUACGAUCAGAAUCUAUUGGUGCCCUCCAAAUCGAACUGAGUGAAGAAUCUGACCAAGGCAAAUAUGAGUGUGUUGCAACCAACAGUGCGGGUACUCGCUAUUCUGCCCCUGCCAAUCUAUAUGUCAGAGAGCUGCGAGAAGUUCGCCGGGUCCCACCAAGGUUCUCAAUCCCACCCACCAACCAUGAAAUUAUGCCUGGAGGGAGUGUUAACAUUACCUGUGUUGCUGUGGGAUCACCAAUGCCAUAUGUGAAGUGGAUGCUGGGUGCUGAAGAUUUGACGCCAGAAGAUGAUAUGCCCAUAGGAAGAAAUGUCCUGGAACUUAAUGAUGUCAGGCAGUCUGCCAACUAUACUUGUGUGGCCAUGUCUACCCUUGGUGUUAUAGAAGCAAUAGCACAGAUAACUGUCAAAGCCUUACCUAAACCUCCAGGAACUCCUGUUGUAACAGAAAGUACAGCAACAAGCAUCACUUUGACUUGGGAUUCUGGAAACCCUGAGCCGGUAUCUUACUACAUAAUACAACAUAAACCUAAAAACUCUGAUGAACUUUAUAAGGAAAUUGAUGGAGUGGCCACAACACGAUACAGUGUUGCUGGCUUAAGCCCAUAUUCAGAGUAUGAAUUCAGAGUUGUUGCUGUCAAUAACAUUGGGCGAGGUCCACCCAGUGAACCUGUAUCAACACGGACCUCAGAGCAAGCACCAUCUAGUGCACCACGCAAUGUACAGGCUCGUAUGUUGAGCUCAACCACCAUCUUGGUACAGUGGGAAGAACCUGAGGAACCCAAUGGCCAAAUUCAAGGAUAUAGAGUCUAUUAUACCAUGGACCCUUCCCAGCAUGUCAACAGUUGGUUGAAGCAUAAUGUGGCUGACAGCCACAUCACCACCAUUGGAAAUCUAGUACCACAGAAAACUUACUCCGUCAAAGUUCUUGCUUUUACCUCAGUUGGGGAUGGACCUCUUUCUAGUGACAUUCAAGUCAUCACUCAGACAGGAGUACCGGGACAGCCAUUGAACUUCAAAGCUGAACCUGAAUCUGAAACAAGCAUAUUACUUUCUUGGACCCCUCCACGGUCUGACACAAUCUCCAACUAUGAUCUUGUUUACAAAGAUGGAGAACAUGGAGAAGAGCAACGUAUUUCUAUUGAUCCAGCUACAUCUUACCACUUACAAGGCCUAAAACCAAAUAGUUUGUAUUACUUCAGACUGUCUGCACGCUCUCCACAAGGUCUUGGUGCUUCAACAGCAGAAAUCUCAGCUAGAACAAUGCAGUCAAAGCCAUCAGCUCCUCCUCAAGACAUUAGUUGCAACAGCCCCAGCUCCACUAGUAUUUUGGUAAGUUGGCAGCCUCCUCCAGUGGAAAAACAGAAUGGAAUUAUCACUUCCUACUCCAUCAAGUACUCUGGAAUUGAUGGAGAAGAUGACAAGCCCCAUGAAAUUUUGGGAAUUGCUCCGGACACUACACAGUAUCUUUUGGAACAGUUGGAAAAAUGGACUGAAUAUCGGAUUUCUGUGACAGCCCACACUGAUGUCGGACCUGGCCCAGAGAGCGAAUUUGUAUUGAUUCGGACAGAUGAAGAUGUUCCUAGUGGUCCUCCUCGCAAAGUCGAGGUAGAGGCUGUCAACUCUACAUCUGUUAAGGUGUCAUGGCGGUCACCAGUCCCCAAUAAGCAGCAUGGUCAAAUUCGAGGAUACCAAGUGCAUUAUGUGAAGAUGGAAAAUGGAGAGCCUAGGGGGCAGCCCAUGCUGAAGGAUAUCAUGUUGGCUGAUGCACAGUGGGAAUAUGAUGAUACUACUGAACAUGAAAUGACCAUAGCUGGAUUGCAGCCUGAAACAACAUACUCUCUCACUGUGACAGCCUAUACAACCAAAGGGGAUGGAGCACGGAGCAAGCCCAGACUAGUGUCUACUACUGGCGCAGUUCCAGGAAAACCUCGGCUUGUAAUUAGCCACACACAAAUGAGUACAGCUCUAAUUCAGUGGCACCCACCUGUCGACACAUAUGGCCCUCUGCAGGGGUACCGCCUGAGGUUUGGCCGCAAAGACAUGGAUGCAUUUACAACACGGGAUUUUACCGAUAAAGAUGACCACUACACAGCUACUGAUAUUCACAAAGGAACUUCUUACAUCUUCGGGCUUUCCGCUAGAAAUAAAGUAGGCUUUGGGGAGGAGAUGGUAAAAGAAAUUUCCAUUCCAGAAGAUCUGCCAAGUGGAUUCCCUCAAAACCUACAUUCGGAAAGUGCCACCUCAACUUCAGUCCAGCUAUCUUGGCAAGCACCCAUCUUAUCAGAGAGAAAUGGUAUUAUCACCAAGUAUACCCUGCAGUACAGGGAUAUCAAUGUGGCACAUCACCAAAUAGAGGUCCCGGUUGUUCCUGCUGAUACAGUUAUGACACUUUCGGGCUUAAAACCAGAUACCACAUAUGAUGUAAAAAUACGUGCACACACAAGCAAAGGGCCUGGUCCAUAUAGUCCCAGUGUCCAGUUUAGGACAUUACCUGUGGAUCAAGCAGUGUUUGCAAAAAAUUUUCAUGUCAAAGCAGUGAUGAAGACAUCAGUAUUACUCUCUUGGGAGAUACCAGAGAAUUACAACUCGGCUUUGCCUUUCAAAAUCCUGUAUGAUGAUGGGAAAAUGGCAGUUGAAGUGGAUGGCCGAGCUACUCAGAAGCUUAUCACCAACCUGAAGCCUGAGACAUCAUAUUCGUUUGUGCUAACCAAUAGAGGAAAUAGUGCGGGAGGUCUUCAGCACAGGGUGACAGCAAAGACAGCACCGGAUGUUCUGCGCACCCAGCCACUCUUCAUUGACAAGACCAAUCUCGAUGGAAUGAUAACAGUGAAACUACCAGAAGUACCUGCAAAUAAAACUAUAAAAGGUUAUUAUAUAGUAAUUGUGCCUUUGAUAAAGAAGUCUGAUGGGAAAUUCAUGAAACCGCAAGAGAGCCCAGACGAAAUGGAAUUAGAUGAGCUACUUAAGGAGAUAGGACGGAAACGCAGAAGCAUUCGUUUGGGGAGAGAAGCAGAUUUAAAGCCAUAUAUUGCAGCACACUUUGAAGUUCUUCCUACUGAGUUCACCCUGGGGGAUAAGAAACAGUAUGGUGGUUUUGAGAACAAGCAGCUCCAAAAUGGCCAAGAAUAUGUUGUUUUUAUUUUAGCUGUUAUGGAACACUCAGAAUCUACCAUGUAUGCAACCAGCCCAUAUUCUGAAACCGUUGUGUCAGUGGAUCUUAAUCCCCAGCCAAUUACAGAGGAGGAGGAAGGCUUGAUUUGGGUUGUAGGACCAGUUCUUGCAGUUGUAUUUAUCAUCUGUAUUGUGAUCGCUAUACUGCUUUAUAAAAGGAAAAGGGCAGAGACGGACUCUAGAAAAAGCAGCAUACCCAAUAGCAAAGAGAUUCCUUCCCACCAUCCCACAGAUCCAGUAGAGUUACGGCGCCUUAAUUUCCAAACUCCAGGUAUGGCUAGCCACCCUCCAAUACCUGUUUUGGAACUUGCAGAUCACAUUGAAAGGCUGAAGGCGAAUGACAACUUGAAGUUUUCCCAAGAAUAUGAGUCAAUUGACCCAGGGCAGCAGUUCACAUGGGAACAUUCUAACCUGGAAGUAAAUAAACCAAAGAAUAGAUAUGCGAAUGUUAUUGCUUAUGAUCAUUCCCGAGUUCUCUUAUCAGCAAUAGAAGGCAUACCAGGUAGCGAUUAUAUAAAUGCUAACUACAUAGAUGGUUACAGAAAACAGAAUGCAUAUAUAGCCACUCAAGGAGCUCUCCCUGAAACAUUUGGAGAUUUUUGGAGAAUGAUGUGGGAACAAAGAGGCGCAACUGUUGUCAUGAUGACUAAACUGGAAGAAAGAUCCAGGGUCAAAUGUGAUCAAUAUUGGCCAAGCAGAGGCACAGAAACAUAUGGACUGAUCCAGGUGACCCUGCUGGACACAGUGGAGUUGGCAACAUACUGUGUUAGGACAUUUGCACUUUACAAGAAUGGAUCGAGUGAGAAGAGGGAAGUACGGCAGUUUCAGUUCACUGCCUGGCCCGACCAUGGAGUUCCAGAGCACCCCACGCCAUUCCUAGCUUUCUUACGAAGAGUCAAAACCUGUAACCCUCCCGAUGCUGGACCGAUGGUUGUUCACUGCAGUGCUGGAGUUGGCAGGACUGGCUGUUUCAUUGUAAUAGAUGCUAUGCUAGAGAGAAUAAAGCAUGAAAAGACUGUAGAUAUUUAUGGCCAUGUAACUCUAAUGAGAGCCCAGAGGAAUUACAUGGUACAAACGGAGGACCAAUACAUCUUUAUCCAUGAUGCACUGCUUGAAGCAGUGACAUGUGGAAAUACCGAAGUGCCAGCCAGAAACCUGUACGCAUAUAUUCAGAAGCUGACACAGAUAGAAGCAGGCGAGAAUGUCACAGGAAUGGAACUGGAAUUUAAGCGGCUAGCCAGCUCUAAAGCUCACACUUCAAGAUUCAUCAGUGCCAAUCUUCCAUGUAAUAAAUUUAAAAAUCGCCUUGUUAAUAUUAUGCCAUAUGAAACCACAAGGAUAUGUUUGCAGCCUAUCCGAGGGGUAGAAGGCUCUGAUUAUAUCAAUGCCAGUUUCAUUGAUGGAUACAGGCAACAAAAAGCCUAUAUAGCUACACAGGGACCUUUGGCAGAAACAACAGAAGAUUUCUGGAGAAUGCUUUGGGAGCACAAUUCAACUAUUGUAGUCAUGCUUACUAAGCUACGAGAAAUGGGCAGAGUAAGUAUGUGGCCUGUUUCCAGAAAGUAAAUGUCAAAAAUUAAUUUGGCAUAGGAAGUGCAACAACAAGAACAGCCAUUUACAAAGAAUGAAGGCAAUUACUCCUGCUAGGCCAGUCAGUACGGGGGCAGGCAGUGUGGACUGGAAAAGACGCUAAUCCGUGUACAAAGCAUGCAUGUAUGAAGAUAGCAUGUCUAAUUCAAAAUGAGUUCUUUGUGCUCUUCCCCAACAUCUUCAUCCUGUGGAAAAUGUACUUGCUAACAUUGUAUGUGCUGAGCAGCUGCUUUCCAGCCUGUAUCCUGUAGAACUCUUUCUUCAUAACAAGAUCAGUCGUGGAAGGUGGAUUUCCCUGAGAAAUAGCUCGCCCAUCACUGCAUAUUUUCCAUGAUGCACUCAUGGAAGUGUACUGAGCAUGUCAGGGAAAGGGUGGGACAGGACCCCAAAAUGUUUUAAGCCAGAGAAGCACUUUGGAGAAAGUGACAUGAGCGUUCUCACAAAAGGAAUUCCAGAGUGCAGCACAUACUUUGCAUCAUUCCAAGUUCAAAAUAAAGUGUAAUUUAAAAGAUGUUAUAAGAAAUCAGCAAAAAGUCAGAAGGUCUUGGGAACUUGGCAGAUGCCUAAGAUGAGGACUUCAGGGCCAGGGUAACACCCUUCCUCUUGACAAUUUUCUGUGGGGGGGGGGGUUGGUGGUGUUGGUUUUGUUUCUGUUGGGUUUUUUUUAAUUUUCCAUGAAGAAAUGUUCAGUUCUGCAGACUGAAGUGCAGACACAGGGUUACCCUUCAGGCGUUUUUAAGAACUAAGCCAGUAAGGCCCAACGGACCUGACUGGUUACUGUUAGAACCUGGGUUUGUGAUCUAUCCCUUGCCCAAGACUCUAGAAUUUUGGAGGAAUAACAGAGAAAAGAAGGACUAGGUAGUAUAAGUCAAAGCACCAAAGAUGGAGAAAGGGAUCCAAAGAAGCAUCUCCCCUUGUUGACCUAAGGACUUCCACCCAGGUCCUCUCCCAGGCAUUCCCAGCCUCCAGCCUGAUGCUUUCUCAUGACAAAUGUUCCAUGGAAUCACAUCACAGGAGAGUUCCACCUUCAUGACCUGUCCACAGUUUAAACGCUAUCUCUGAUCUUCAUCCAAACUCACAGAGCUGCUGUACGCUGAAGCCAUUCAGUCACAUAAUUAUGCAAAACACAUGCACAUGGCUAUAAUCCCAACAUAUCACACUGGUGUGUACAAGAACAGUAUUUUCAAGGUAUUUGGUGGUGUCAGUGGCAGUAGUACUGAAGAGCCCACUCCUUUCUGCAUUGUCAGCAAGGGUAUUCAAUACAUACUUUUAAGAUGCAAAUUAGAAACUGUAGAAACUAUGGAAAAAACAUUCCUGGCCAGAACAAAUGACAUCUUAAGUGCUAGGUGAUGAUGAUGCCAUUGUUCAUUGCCUGACCAUUGUUGGUAAAGAUACAUUUCGUGAUUGUGCUCUAGGAAAGCUUUUUGUGCUUUAUGUGGGCAAUCAGUUCUAAUAUGCCAGUCUAGAAUCCUGGGAUUGUUUUAGGUCUGUGGGUGGUUUAUUAAGCUCACCAAUGAGCCGCCUUCACUGAUAAUGCAAGCCGCAAGGAAGGGACGGGUUCUAAGACAGGCACCCAUAAGCAACUGGUAUAUGCCAGAAACCAUGGUCUGAACCCAGUCAUUGUGCUGAGAGGCUUCAAAAGAGUCCCCACCAGAAGAUUAAAAAAAAAAAAAAAUAGGAAAGGUGCUCACCCAGAAGCCCCCAGUCAAACAUUUCCUUCAUAACUUGUUGAACAAAGAACUUUUACAAGGUUGUAGUUGCUCCAUCCAAUUCAGGCAGACCAGUGUACUACACAGAAGCAGAGCUUGUCAGAUCAGUGGGUUCAAACAUCCCAGCAUCUAACUGGAAGCUAGUAGAUGGUGGGUUGUGUGCAGCUUUUGGAAAAACUAUCUGCGUUUACACCUGGACUGCUGCUGCAUAAACUGCAGGCUGCAGCAUGUUCCUGGCUUGGUAACACACUGAUAGGUUCCAUUUCCAGGUGCUCUUCUGUUUCUUUUACUGACAUCACACAUUAGUUUUGGGUGGCCUCAUUGAAAGGACUGACAUACUCCCUCCUCUCUAUAUAUGUCAUGCUUCGAUUCUGUUCAAAUAUGUACUGCAUGUUUGUACACCUAAAAUAACAAUAGAAAUAAAAGAUAGAAGAUACGUUUGUUCCAGGCUGGGUAAUGAUACACUAUCCUUGCAUUUUCUCUUGGAGAGGGCAGGAGAGGUCACAUGCUCAAAAUGUUUGAGCAGUACCAUCUUAGGCACAGAUCAUGCCCUGAGCCUGGCCGUUCCCUGGUCGCAGUGUCUGCUUUUGUGCCGCAUCACUAGCAUAGCAUAGCAUAGCAUAGCUUUGGAGUUGCAAGAGCACAAGCCGUUCCAUCCCUUUUCUGGGUAUAGCAUAUGUUUUUGAAGGUGCGUGUAUGAUUUCUAUCCCGGUCAGGGUGUCUUAUUUCCACACCGAGUACCUACUACACUCAAGAGUUCCACCACUUCUGAAAGGUAGAAGGCUUGUAUUCAUGUACAACAGUACUUCUCAGCUCUGUGAACACGCCCAGGUGGAUUUCUUCUGUCAGAAGAAUCAAAGCUGUGAACAAAUUGCUUCCCACUCAGGAAGCUCAAUAUGCUGUCAGCCAGGCUGAAACAUGAGUCAUUUGUACCAUGCCACAGUAACUGGCUCUUUCUAGAGAGCACGAUGGCUGCACCAAAAUGGUCCAGACACGAUGCCAGUUUGGAAGCCAUUCUCAAAGCCUUCCAAUAAGAGGAUCGAGCGAUCCUGGAAGAGGAACAAUUCCCGCUGUGAACAUGGAAAAGGGAGGCUACUAUUCAUAUCAUUUUGCAAGUGCAGGUGUAAAUUUCUACACUAUUUGAGUCAUUAUUCUCACAGAAGAAA